rnacentral:rRNA from 1 species
GGAAUAUUCCACAAUGGGGGAAACCCUGAUGCAGCAACGCCGCGUGAGGGAAGAAGGUUUUCGGAUUGUAAACCUCUGUCCUUGGUGAAGAUAAUGACGGUAGCCGAGGAGGAAGCUCCGGCUAACUACGUGCCAGCAGCCGCGGUAAUACGUAGGGAGCGAGCGUUGUCCGGAUUUACUGGGUGUAAAGGGUGCGUAGGCGGCUUGGCAAGUCAGACGUGAAAUGCAGAGGCUUAACUUCUGAACUGCGUUUGAAACUGUUAAGCUUGAGUGAAGCAGAGGCAGGCGGAAUUCCCGGUGUAGCGGUGAAAUGCGUAGAGAUCGGGAGGAACACCAGUGGCGAAGGCGGCCUGCUGGGCUUUAACUGACGCUGAGGCACGAAAGCGUGGGGAGCAAACA